AUGGGAGGCAAAAAUAGGCAAAGGAAAUCUUCAUCUUUUCUAUCUAUUUUCAACAUUUUCAAAUCUAACAAGCAUAGAGGAGGAAGUAAUUACAAUGCUUAUGAAGAAGGAACAAAGCCAGGGUACAAAAUAUGGCCUAGUGAUGAAGAUAAAGGUAGCUGGGGAGUUGCUGAUCCUGUAAUUGACAUGAGAGCUACAGAUUUUAUUGCGCGAUACAAGAAACGCGUUUCGGAUUCAGAAAUUCACCAAGCUUAA